GUUAACGAGGCGAACCGGGGGAACUGAAACAUCUAAGUACCCCGAGGAAAAGAAAUCAACCGAGAUUCCCCCAGUAGCGGCGAGCGAACGGGGAGCAGCCCAGAGUCUGAAUCAGCUUGUGUGUUAGUGGAACGGUCUGGAAAGUCCGACGGUACAGGGUGAUAGUCCCGUACACCAAAAUGCACAGGUUGUGAACUCGAAGAGUAGGGCGGGACACGUGGUAUCCUGUCUGAAUAUGGGGGGACCAUCCUCCAAGGCUAAAUACUCCUGACUGACCGAUAGUGAACCAGUACCGUGAGGGAAAGGCGAAAAGAACCCCGGCGAGGGGAGUGAAAAAGAACCUGAAACCGUGUACGUACAAGCAGUGGGAGCACCUUCGGGUGCGACUGCGUACCUUUUGUAUAAUGGGUCAGCGACUUAUAUUCUGUAGCAAGGUUAACCGUAUAGGGGAGCCGCAGGGAAACCGAGUCUUAACUGGGCGUUAAGUUGCAGGGUAUAGACCCGAAACCCGGUGAUCUAGCCAUGGGCAGGUUGAAGGUUGGGUAACACUAACUGGAGGACCGAACCGACUAAUGUUGAAAAAUUAGCGGAUGACUUGUGGCUGGGGGUGAAAGGCCAAUCAAACCGGGAGAUAGCUGGUUCUCCCCGAAAGCUAUUUAGGUAGCGCCUCGUGAACUCAUCUUCGGGGGUAGAGCACUGUUUCGGCUAGGGGGUCAUCCCGACUUACCAACCCGAUGCAAACUACGAAUACCGAAGAAUGUUAUCACGGGAGACACACGGCGGGUGCUAACGUCCGUCGUGAAGAGGGAAACAACCCAGACCGCCAGCUAAGGUCCCAAAGUCAUGGUUAAGUGGGAAACGAUGUGGGAAGGCACAGACAGCCAGGAUGUUGGCUUAGAAGCAGCCAUCAUUUAAAGAAAGCGUAAUAGCUCACUGGUCGAGUCGGCCUGCGCGGAAGAUGUAACGGGGCUAAACCAUGCACCGAAGCUGCGGCAGCGACACUAUGUGUUGUUGGGUAGGGGAGCGUUCUGUAAGCCUGCGAAGGUGUGCUGUGAGGCAUGCUGGAGGUAUCAGAAGUGCGAAUGCUGACAUAAGUAACGAUAAAGCGGGUGAAAAGCCCGCUCGCCGGAAGACCAAGGGUUCCUGUCCAACGUUAAUCGGGGCAGGGUGAGUCGACCCCUAAGGCGAGGCCGAAAGGCGUAGUCGAUGGGAAACAGGUUAAUAUUCCUGUACUUGGUGUUACUGCGAAGGGGGGACGGAGAAGGCUAUGUUAGCCGGGCGACGGUUGUCCCGGUUUAAGCAUGUAGGCUGGUUGUCCAGGCAAAUCCGGAUAAUCAAGGCUGAGGUGUGAUGACGAGGCACUACGGUGCUGAAGUAACAAAUGCCCUGCUUCCAGGAAAAGCCUCUAAGCAUCAGGUAACAUUAAAUCGUACCCCAAACCGACACAGGUGGUCAGGUAGAGAAUACCAAGGCGCUUGAGAGAACUCGGGUGAAGGAACUAGGCAAAAUGGUGCCGUAACUUCGGGAGAAGGCACGCUGGUGUGUAGGUGAAGUCCCUGCGGAUGGAGCUGAGACCAGUCGAAGAUACCAGCUGGCUGCAACUGUUUAUUAAAAACACAGCACUGUGCAAACACGAAAGUGGACGUAUACGGUGUGACGCCUGCCCGGUGCCGGAAGGUUAAUUGAUGGGGUUAUCCGUAAGGAGAAGCUCUUGAUCGAAGCCCCGGUAAACGGCGGCCGUAACUAUAACGGUCCUAAGGUAGCGAAAUUCCUUGUCGGGUAAGUUCCGACCUGCACGAAUGGCGUAAUGAUGGCCAGGCUGUCUCCACCCGAGACUCAGUGAAAUUGAACUCGCUGUGAAGAUGCAGUGUACCCGCGGCAAGACGGAAAGACCCCGUGAACCUUUACUAUAGCUUGACACUGAACAUUGAGCCUUGAUGUGUAGGAUAGGAGGGAGGCUUUGAAGCGUGGACGCCAGUCUGCGUGGAGCCAACCUUGAAAUACCACCCUUUAAUGUUUGAUGUUCUAACGUUGGCCCCUGACCGGGGUUGCGGACAGUGUCUGGUGGGUAGUUUGACUGGGGCGGUCUCCUCCCAAAGCGUAACGGAGGAGCACGAAGGUUAGCUAAUCCUGGUCGGACAUCAGGAGGUUAGUGCAAUGGCAUAAGCUAGCUUGACUGCGAGCGUGACGGCGCGAGCAGGUGCGAAAGCAGGUCAUAGUGAUCCGGUGGUUCUGAAUGGAAGGGCCAUCGCUCAACGGAUAAAAGGUACUCCGGGGAUAACAGGCUGAUACCGCCCAAGAGUUCAUAUCGACGGCGGUGUUUGGCACCUCGAUGUCGGCUCAUCACAUCCUGGGGCUGAAGUAGGUCCCAAGGGUAUGGCUGUUCGCCAUUUAAAGUGGUACGCGAGCUGGGUUUAGAACGUCGUGAGACAGUUCGGUCCCUAUCUGCCGUGGGCGCUGGAGAAUUGAGGGGGGCUGCUCCUAGUACGAGAGGACCGGAGUGGACGCAUCACUGGUGUUCGGGUUGUCAUGCCAAUGGCACUGCCCGGUAGCUAAAUGCGGAAGAGAUAAGUGCUGAAAGCAUCUAAGCACGAAACUUGCCCCGAGAUGAGUUCU
rnacentral:rRNA from 1 species